ensembl:lncRNA
GAUUAGAGUAGGUCAUUCUGCAGCAUAUGAAGAAAGCAAGGCUGAUAACAUAACCUGACACAUCAAAAAUAUUCUUCUGCGAACAGCCUGAAGAGCUGUUGUUUACAAAAAGCUGUGAGCAAGCAAAAUAACCAUAUAGUUUGCCUACAGCUGCCUUUGAUGUGAAGUUCUCCGUGUGCCUCCAAUAUGAAGACAUUAUAACUGGGCAGUGCUGGGAACUUUCUCAUCGCGGUUCACUGUGUUCAGAAACUGGCCCCAGCACCAUUCACUGUCCGAAUUCCAAAAAGGCAACAGGGAUCCAUGAUUGAAGACCAGCAUCCCCUAAUUCUGAGAGGCAACUUUUCUCCUGAUUCAAAUCUCCACGUCACAAACCAGAACGCCAUUCAAGCCUUCCAUAAACGUUAAGAGAAGUUCCGCGCCUGCCAGGGGAAGCGAAAUCCGGGCUGACUUUGAUCGACACCGAGAAGGGGGUACCUCAGUCCUGCGUUCCUAGAUGGCGGGUUUGCUCGGUGCACCACCUAGCCCUGCCGUCCGGAUCCGGGGCAAAGUCGUCCGCAGUCUUUCAGGCCGGUUCUCAGCCUCUGCCUGUAUUGUAACUCAGCCCGGGCGCAGUCAGAGAAUCGAAUCCCAGCAACAAAGCCGGGGGCGCAAACCCGCCGUGAUGAACCGGUCGGCCUGCCCCCCAACCCCUGCCUCCUCCCUUCCCGACUUGCCUUUGAAAAGACAGGCGUUGGGGCCAGAAAACGAAUACGUCCGAGGCGAGGAGGACGGAAGCAGCGGGACACAAGUGGCCUGAGUGGUCUGGGGGUCGUGGUUUGUUUACGUGUCUCUUAAACACCCAGGACCCACGGAGGUGAGCCCGGCGAGUCGGGCGCCCCACGGGAGCCUCACCGCCCCGGGCGCUGCGCAGACCGCUCGCCCCUCGCCCACCGCCCGUCUGGCGGGCCGGGGUGAACGAGGAGGCUCGCGCGGGUUUGUCUGACACUUGUAAAUGGAAGUGGGAUCCAACUUGGGAAACAAACGCGCCGGGGUCUUGGGACGGGGAGGGGCGGGAGACCGGGGAGAGGAGAAGAAAAGCCUCUUCAUCCGGCGGCGCGCUCCGAGCUCCCCGCCGGCCUCCCGCCGCAGCGGCUGCAGGUUACCCGGCCCCAAGGCCGAGCCGGGACCGGCGCGCGGGGAGCGGGGCGCGGGGCCGGGGCGGGCUGGGCCGGCAGAGGGGGCGAGCCGAGGCUACCGAGCGCCCGCUCUCCAGGCCGCCGGCACCUCUAGCUCCCGGGAGCCUCCCCGAGCCCCACGCCACGUCCCUGCAGGCUCGCCCCCUCCGUCCUCAGCCUUCCAGGGAUCCCCUUCCACUGCCAGCUCUGCCCCUAUUAUUACGUGGAGCUACAGCCGCAGGAUGCCGCCAGCACAUACACACACACCGGGGGCGGGGGGGUGGGGGGCUCCUCUCCUCUCGUUGAAAGCUACCCCGAGGCUCGCUGAGCCCGCAGCCACACUCCCGCCACCCCCGCGUCCUUGCCCCCAGCGAUCCCCAGCCCACGAAAGCGGGGCUAGGAAAAGCGAACAAUGAAAGUUGCUUUCCGCGAAGCCUCAUCGCCGUCUCUGUUUAACUGUCUCGGAAAGCACGGGCGACGCGAGUAGGCGAGAGAGGCGUGCAGACCACAGCGAGGCUAAAAACACCCGGGCUCUGCGCCCUGCGCCGGCCUGGGAGCCCGAUGCACUUUAGCUCAGCGACCCCCACUGGCGGCGCACGAGCGCGCCGGGCGAACACGCUCCCGGCCACCUCCGCCGCCGCGCCCGCGCUCCGCAGACCCCCGCCGGGACCCCGCACCCACACUGGUCCCGGCGCAGGGGUCCACCCGGCACCGCCCGGGAAGGGGCCUUGAGAGUGGAGCUGGCGCACGCUUGCAUUCGAUCCCACUCGGCAAUCCAGGGCGGACCGCAGCGCACCCGCUAGGACGCCCAAACCCGCGCGGCUUUCUUUUCAAAGACAAGCCACCUUCACGCACGCCCGCCAAAACCCGUGCUCUCCCAAGGCACUCCGUUUGCCUGUCCCCAGGAGAGCAAGGAAAGUCCCACCUCCCCGCCACUCCACAAAAAAAUCUGUCGCCCCAGUCCCAGAGUCUCUGCCGCUCGGUACACCUCACCCCGCCCGUGACCCCCGCACACCAGAGUCACACGCGGAGCGGACCCGCAGAUCGUCUCGUAACCCUUUCCCCUCCCUGCUCAGAGUGGAGUCUGGGCUCUACUACAGCCGGCGCCUCGCCAGGCGACGACCCAACUUGAGCCUCGGGUCCCGAAGUGCAUCCUUUGGCUUCUGAAUGUCCCUACAGCGCCCCACCGGCAGCGGCCACCGAGCAGGCUCGCCGCCUGGCCCCUCCGAUCCACCUGCAGUGGGCGGGCGGCCGGGAGUCGGGGGCCGGGUGCAUCGUUCUGAAAGCCGCCCCCCGCCCCCUUUUCCAAAUCCUGAGCCCCAAACUUGGCCAACUCUCCAUGCCAACCUCCCGGCUACCGCCGCCAGACCGAGCCUCCUUCCCCUCCUCCUCGCGGCGGCAGCCAAGGCUGCUCCGAGCCUUGCCGAGGCAGGAACUUUACCAGGUGAAAAGUUUCCCCCGCGCGCCCCGCCGGCUCUCGCCUCCCCGAGACCCCCGAGCCCCCCGUUCCAAUCCGGCAGCUGCAGCUGUGUGUCUGGCGGCGCCCUCCAGCCGAGGCACCCGGCAGCCAAAGCAUCGCGUUCAAGAUGCCCACGCACCCUUGCCUCCGCCGGCGACGCUCCGCUCCACCAGGCGCUGUCCGCGAGCUCUUCCUCGGCCGGCGCUCCGGUCCGGGCCGAGCCGGCCACCCGGCCGCGGCCGCCGCAGUGCCCGCCGCGCGCCCGCCGGGGCUGGAGCCGCUAGCAGAGGCGCUCGGGACGCCGCCGCCGCCGCGGGGGCUCCCGGGCGGAGGGGCGAAGCCGGGAGGAGGGGGCCGGGGGCGCCAGACCCCGAUCCGCAGCGCAGCUCGCGGCGCAGCUGCCGGGAGGAGCGCCGGCUCCGCGUCUGCUCCGAGCCGCCGCCGCCGCCGCUAGUGCCUGCCGCCCGGCUGCUCCGCGCUCCCCAUCACCGCCGACGCCGACGCGCGGCCAAGCCCCUCUCC